UACAGGGGGUGCAAACGUUGCUCGGAAUCAUUGGGCGUAAAGCGCACGUAGGCGGUUCGUUAUGUCGGAUGUGAAAGCCCUUGGCUUAACCGAGGAAGUGCAUCCGAAACUGGCGAGCUAGAGUACGAAAGAGGAUCGCGGAAUUCCCGGUGUAGAGGUGAAAUUCGUAGAUAUCGGGAGGAACACCGGUGGUGAAGGCGGCGAUCUGGGUCGAUACUGACGCUGAGGUGCGAAAGCGUGGGGAGCAAACAGG
rnacentral:rRNA from 1 species